GAUGAACGCUGGCGGCGUGCCUAAUACAUGCAAGUCGAGCGAACGGACAAGGAGCUUGCUCCUUUGAAGUUAGCGGCGGACGGGUGAGUAACACGUGGGUAACCUACCUAUAAGACUGGAAUAACUCCGGGAAACCGGGGCUAAUGCCGGAUAACAUGUUGAACCGCAUGGUUCAACAGUGAAAGACGGUCUUGCUGUCACUUAUAGAUGGACCCGCGCCGUAUUAGCUAGUUGGUGGGGUAACGGCCUACCAAGGCGACGAUACGUAGCCGACCUGAGAGGGUGAUCGGCCACACUGGAACUGAGACACGGUCCAGACUCCUACGGGAGGCAGCAGUAGGGAAUCUUCCGCAAUGGGCGAAAGCCUGACGGAGCAACGCCGCGUGAGUGAUGAAGGUCUUCGGAUCGUAAAGCUCUGUUGUUAGGGAAGAACAAAUGUGUAAGUAACUGUGCACGUCUUGACGGUACCUAACCAGAAAGCCACGGCUAACUACGUGCCAGCAGCCGCGGUAAUACGUAGGUGGCAAGCGUUAUCCGGAAUUAUUGGGCGUAAAGCGCGCGUAGGCGGUUUUUUAAGUCUGAUGUGAAAGCCCACGGCUCAACCGUGGAGGGUCAUUGGAAACUGGAAAACUUGAGUGCAGAAGAGGAAAGUGGAAUUCCAUGUGUAGCGGUGAAAUGCGCAGAGAUAUGGAGGAACACCAGUGGCGAAGGCGGCUUUCUGGUCUGCAACUGACGCUGAUGUGCGAAAGCGUGGGGAUCAAACAGGAUUAGAUACCCUGGUAGUCCACGCCGUAAACGAUGAGUGCUAAGUGUUAGGGGGUUUCCGCCCCUUAGUGCUGCAGCUAACGCAUUAAGCACUCCGCCUGGGGAGUACGGUCGCAAGACUGAAACUCAAAGGAAUUGACGGGGACCCGCACAAGCGGUGGAGCAUGUGGUUUAAUUCGAAG
rnacentral:rRNA from 1 species